rnacentral:rRNA from 2 species
AAGCUAUGGCAAUCCCGUAAGGGAUUGGGUAGGGGAGCGUUCCAAGGACAGCGAAGCUAGAUCGUGAGGACUAGUGGAGUGCUUGGAAGUGAGAAUGCCGGUAUGAGUAGCGAAAAGAUAGGUGAGAAUCCUAUCCGUCGAAAGCCCAAGGUUUCCUGAGGAAGGCUCGUCCGCUCAGGGUUAGUCGGGACCUAAGCCGAGGCCGAAAGGCGUAGGCGAUGGACAACAGGUUGAUAUUCCUGUACCACCUCGUAUUCGUUUGAACGAUGGGGGGACGCAGAAAGGUAGGGUGAGCGCGCCGCUGGCUGUGCGCGUCGAAGCAUGCGAGGCUGGAACAUAGGCAAAUCCGUGUUCCGUAAGGCUGAGCUGUGACCGUGAAGGACCUUCGGGUCCGAAAUCCCUGAUCCUCCGCUGCCGAGAAAAGCCUCUAGUGAGAAUACAGGUGCCCGUACCGCAAACCGACACAGGUAGGCGAGAAGAGAAUUCUAAGACGCUCGGGAGAACUCUCGUUAAGGAACUCGGCAAAAUGACCCCGUAACUUCGGGAGAAGGGGUGCUCUAGUAGGGUUAACCGCCCGAGAGAGCCGCAGUGAAAGGAUCCAAGCGACUGUUUAGCAAAAACACAGGUCUCUGCGAAGCCGUAAGGCGAAGUAUAGGGGCUGACACCU